rnacentral:rRNA from 1 species
AACGAACGCUGGCGGCAUGCCUAACACAUGCAAGUCGAACGAGACCUUCGGGUCUAGUGGCGCACGGGUGCGUAACGCGUGGGAACCUGCCCUUAGGUUCGGAAUAACUCUCCGAAAGGGGUGCUAAUACCGGAUAAUGUCUUCGGACCAAAGAUUUAUCGCCUUUGGAUGGGCCCGCGUUGGAUUAGCUAGUUGGUAGGGUAAAAGCCUACCAAGGCGACGAUCCAUAGCUGGUCUGAGAGGAUGAUCAGCCACACUGGGACUGAGACACGGCCCAGACUCCUACGGGAGGCAGCAGUGGGGAAUAUUGGACAAUGGGCGAAAGCCUGAUCCAGCAAUGCCGCGUGAGUGAUGAAGGCCUUAGGGUUGUAAAGCUCUUUUACCCGGGAUGAUAAUGACAGUACCGGGAGAAUAAGCUCCAGCUAACUCCGUG